ACCUGGCUGGCUCACUUGGUAGAGCGUGUGACUCUUGAUCUCAGGGUUGUGAGUUCAAGCCCCAUGUUGGGUG
rnacentral:tRNA from 1 species